rnacentral:pre_miRNA from 1 species
UGUCUAGUGCCUUUAUGUGUAGUGCCUUAUUCAGGAAGGUGUUACUUAAUGUAUUAACAUUUGUAAGGCACCCUUCUGAGUAGAGUAAUGUGCAACAUGGAUAUCAUUU